rnacentral:rRNA from 1 species
UACGUAGGGUGCGAGCGUUAAUCGGAAUUACUGGGCGUAACGCGUGCGCAGGCGGUUUUUCAAGUCUGAUGUGAAAGCCCCGGGCUUACCCUGGGAACUGCGGUGGAAACUGAAAGACUAGAGUGCGGCAGAGGGGGGUAGAAUUCCACGUGUAGCAGUGAAAUGCGUAGAGAUGUGGAGGAAGACCGAUGGCGAAGGCAGCCCCCGGGGAUAACACUGACGCUCAUGUACGAAAGCGUGGGUAGCAAACAGG